rfam:Gossypium hirsutum cultivar TM-1 chromosome 19, whole genome shotgun sequence
UAUUAAAAAUUUCAUUCUUUUGUACUAUUAAAAACUGGCAUGAUUGAUGAAAUAACUAGACAGUGACAUGUGACAUGCCAUGUGUACCUCAUGCUAACGUACAGAGACCAACUUUUAACAGCAAAAAUGGAUGAAAUUUUCUAUA